ensembl:snRNA U6 U6 spliceosomal RNA
GUGCUCACUCUGGCAGCACAUAGACUGACACAGGGAAGGUACAGAGAAGAUUUGCAUGGCCUUGGCACAAGGAUGACAUGCAAAUUCAUGAACUGUUCCAUAAUUUU